CUGGGUAAGUCGGGGCCUAAGGUGAGGUCGAAAGACGUAGCCGAUGGACAACAGGUUGAAAUUCCUGUACUGCAGUAUAACAGAACUGUGGGGACGCAGAGGGAGAGCACUAGCGGGAAUGGAAUCCCGUGGCAAGCGAGGUAGGAGUCGCGUUGGCAAAUCCGCGUGACAAUCCGAAGACGUGAUGCAUACCGAACAAAAGUAGGGAAAUGUGUGAGCCAGCUGCCAAGAAAAGCCGCUAUUGUUUGUACUGUACCCGUACCGUAAACCGACACAGGUAGGUGAGGAGAGAAUCCUAAGGCCGACGGGAGAAGCAUUGUUAAGGAACUCGGCAAAAUGACUCCGUAACUUCGGGAGAAGGAGUGCCAGUGAGAGCUGGCCGCAGAAAAUUGGCCCAAGCAACUGUUUAGCAAAAACACAGGUCUAUGCAAAACCGUAAGGUGAAGUAUAUGGGCUGACGCCUGCCCGGUGCUGGAAGGUUAAGGGGAGAGGUUAGCGCAAGCGAAGCUUUGAACUUAAGCCCCAGUAAACGGCGGCCGUAACUAUAACGGUCCUAAGGUAGCGAAAUUCCUUGUCGGGUAAGUUCCGACCCGCACGAAAGGCGUAAUGAUUUGGGCACUGUCUCAACAAUGCACCCGGUGAAAUUGAAAUACCAGUGAAGAUGCUGGUUACCUGCGCCAGGACGGAAAGACCCCAUGGAGCUUUACUCCAGCUUGAUACUGGGAUUCGAUAUUGUAUGUACAGGAUAGGUGGGAGGCGAAGAAGCAUUGACGCCAGUUGAUGCGGAGCCGCUGUUGGGAUACCACCCUUGCAGUAUUGGAUUUCUAACCAGCAGCCGUGACCCGGCUGGGGGACAAUGUCAGGUGGGGAGUUUGACUGGGGCGGUCGCCUCCGAAAGGGUAUCGGAGGCGCUCAAAGGUUCCCUCAGAAUGGUUGGAAACCAUUCGAAGAGUGCAAAGGCAGAAGGGAGCUUGACUGCGACACCGACGGGUGGAGCAGGUACGAAAGUAGGACUUAGUGAUCCGGUGGUAUAAAGUGGGAUUGCCAUCGCUCAACGGAUAAAAGCUACCCUGGGAUAACAGGCUUAUCACUCCCAAGAGUUCACAUCGACGGAGUGGUUUGGCACCUCGAUGUCGGCUCAUCGCAUCCUGGGGCUGAAGUAGGUCCCAAGGGUUGGGCUGUUCGCCCAUUAAAGCGGUACGCGAGCUGGGUUCAGAACGUCGUGAGACAGUUCGGUCCCUAUCCGGCGUGGGCGUAGGAUAUUUGAGAGGAGCUGGCCUUAGUACGAGAGGACCGGGCUGGACUGACCGCUGGUGUAUCUGUUGUUCCGCCAGGAGCAUGGCAGAGUAGCCAAGUCAGGAAGGGAUAAACGCUGAUGGCAUCUAAGCGUGAAGCCCCCCUCAAGAUGAGAUAUCCCAACGCAAGUUGUAAGACCCCUUGAAGACGACAAGGUAGAUAGGGCAGAGGUGGAAGUGCAGUAAUGCAUGGAGCUGACUGUUACUAAUCGGUCGAGGGCAUAACCG
rnacentral:rRNA from 1 species